GGGGUUGAGGCUCAGUGGUAGAGUGCUUGCCUAGCAUGCAUGAGGCACUGGGUUCAAUCCUCAGCACCACA
rnacentral:tRNA from 1 species